rnacentral:rRNA from 1 species
AGCGGCGGAUGGGUGAGUAACACGUGGGGAACUGCCCCUAAGUCUGGGAUACCAUUUGGAAACAGGUGCUAAUACCGGAUAAUAAAGCAGAUCGCAUGAUCAGCUUUUGAAAGGCGGCGUAAGCUGUCGCUAAGGGAUGGCCCCGCGGUGCAUUAGCUAGUUGGUAAGGUAACGGCUUACCAAGGCGACGAUGCAUAGCCGAGUUGAGAGACUGAUCGGCCACAUUGGGACUGAGACACGGCCCAAACUCCUACGGGAGGCAGCAGUAGGGAAUCUUCCACAAUGGACGCAAGUCUGAUGGAGCAACGCCGCGUGAGUGAAGAAGGUUUUCGGAUCGUAAAGCUCUGUUGUUGGUGAAGAAGGAUAGAGGUAGUAACUGGCCUUUAUUUGACGGUAAUCAACCAGAAAGUCACGGCUAACUACGUGCCAGCAGCCGCGGUAAUACGUAGGUGGCAAGCGUUGUCCGGAUUUAUUGGGCGUAAAGCGAGCGCAGGCGGAAAAAUAAGUCUAAUGUGAAAGCCCUCGGCUUAACCGAGGAACUGCAUCGGAAACUGUUUUUCUUGAGUGCAGAAGAGGAGAGUGGAACUCCAUGUGUAGCGGUGGAAUGCGUAGAUAUAUGGAAGAACACCAGUGGCGAAGGCGGCUCUCUGGUCUGCAACUGACGCUGAGGCUCGAAAGCAUGGGUAGCGAACAGGAUUAGAUACCCUGGUAGUCCAUGCCGUAAACGAUGAGUGCUAAGUGU